rnacentral:rRNA from 1 species
AACGCGAAGAACCUUACCUACCCUUGACAUGCCAGGAAGCCCGCUGAGAGGUGGGUGUGCCCGAAAGGGAGCCUGGACACAGGUGCUGCAUGGCUGUCGUCAGCUCGUGUCGUGAGAUGUUGGGUUAAGUCCCGCAACGAGCGCAACCCUUGUCACUAGUUGCUACGCAAGGGCACUCUAGUGAGACUGCCGGUGACAAACCGGAGGAAGGUGGGGAUGACGUCAAGUCCUCAUGGCCCUUAUGGGUAGGGCUUCACACGUCAUACAAUGGCGCAUACAAAGGGCUGCCAACCCGCGAGGGGGAGCCAAUCCCAGAAAGUGCGUCGUAGUCCGGAUUGCAGUCUGCAACUCGACUGCAUGAAGUCGGAAUCGCUAGUAAUCGCGGAUCAGCAAUGUCGCGGUGAAUACGUUCCCGGGCCUUGUA